UACGGGGGGGGCAAGCGUUGUUCGGAAUUACUGGGCGUAAAGGGCGCGUAGGCGGCCUGCUAAGUCGAACGUGAAAUCCCUGGGCUCAACUCAGGAACUGCGUCCGAUACUGGUUGGCUUGAAUCCGGGAGAGGGACGUGGAAUUCCAGGUGUAGCGGUGAAAUGCGUAGAUAUCUGGAGGAACACCGGUGGCGAAGGCGACGUCCUGGACCGGCAUUGACGCUGAGGCGCGAAAGCCAGGGGAGCAAACGGG
rnacentral:rRNA from 1 species